AUCGAACGCUGGCGGCAGGCCUAAUACAUGCAAGUCGAACGAGAGGCGGACGGGUGAGUAAUGUCUGGGAAACUGCCUGACGGAGGGGGAUAAGUGGUGGAAACGGUAGCUAAUACCGCAUACGACCGGAUGGGCCCAGAUGGGAUUAGCGAGUAGGUGGGGUAACGGCUCACCAAGGCGACGAUCCCUAGCUGGUCUGAGAGGAUGACCGGCCACACUGGAACUGAGACACGGCCCAGACUCCUACGGGAGGCAGCAGUGGGGAAUAUUGCGCAAUGGGCGAAAGCCUGAUGGAGCCAUGCCGCGUGUGUGAAGAAGGCUUUCGGGUUGUAAAGUACUUUCAGCGGGGAGGCGUUACUCGCAGAGGAAGCCACGGCUAACUCCGUGCCAGCAGCCGCGGUAAUAC
rnacentral:rRNA from 1 species